AGUUACAAUACUAUUACAUGUUAAAUGGAGCAGCUUGUCAUUUUAACCAGUUGUAUUUUUAAAAUCACCUGUCCAAACCUGAUGGUAUGAUUUUAAAAAAAGUUCCAUUUUGGUCUCACCUACCGAGAGCGCCUGCUUUGACAUGUUUGCUGUUUGCGUAACAUGACUUCUUACAACUUCAGAAAAGAUCUGCAUAAAAGCACAGAACUGCACUAACGUACCAGAUGUUGCACAAAACAGUUAUGUACGGUAGUCUCAUUUCUAUGGUGUUAUUUACUAUAAUAGUUUUGCACAACAAUUUAGAUGUGAAACACCCAGUAUACACUGUUCAAGAAGAAGAAGAAGAAAAAAAUGUCAGGGAUAACGACACAGCUAAAAUCAUGAAUAAAUUAGCACACCCAUUACUCUCACACCACUGGGCCCAUGGCCUUAUUGAAAUAUAGGUCUUUUCAACACAUAUACCUAAUAUACUAAAAAAGAACAUUUAAAAUGAUUCAGUGGCUUGUGUGAACACAUUAAUUUUCAGUACUAAAAAUAUAUUUUUAAGCAGGUUUUGAGCCCUUCUUCUUCCUUGUGUGGAAUGCAUAAUAGAUUCCCGUGUAAUCCAUUAUGGCUGCUGAGGAAACGGGAGAUAAAGAGUCAUCGGCAGCACCCACCCGGGGUUGUUCUUCUUUAAAUGAAGUUUUAAUAAAGAACGACAGAAAGGCUGUACAAGGUCAAUUAUCAGGCUUUGCCCACCCACUGAAGCCCUUCUCAGAUCCUUGUGCUUAGUGCACCGUAAUGCCUGUCCGUCAUAGCCUGCUGAUCUACAUGUAAAAAUGUCAGACGACCAGAUGAAGGCUGAACCUAUCUAUCCAAAACCUCUGUCAGAGUGCGUUUACUGUUGACUAUUUUUCGUCCUGACUGGCACAUAAGGUCACCACUGUCACAGACUGGCAAAUCAGGAGAGCUGACUGUGGUCGAUGUUCAUUUGUCAGCGCCCUCGUUGGGGGGGGAUAUCUCUUUAUGCAUCAAGAAUACGUUAAGUCACUGGGGGCACAAGUGAAGAUAUUAAUUUUGUGUGUCUGGUUGCUCAUUCAGCGUUGAAAGUUGAAAGGUCCCCCCUCCAAGCCCUCUCAAGCUGUGAGGUGGAUUUAAUGUACAUGGUGCUUAUGAAUAUACUUAUGUAUUCAUUUGAGCAAUAAUCGCCAGGCUGGGUUCCACACAGAAAAACAAACUGCCUAGCUUCCGGCAGCCAUUUUAAUUAAAUGCCAUGGAUUGUCAAAUUUAUUGAUCUCCCUCCCCUCCCCUGACACAACCCUGAAGGAUGUCCUGUGCCAUUUCCAUAUCUUUAGUGGGUUUUCCUGCUAAUGCGAGAUGAGGGAUGAAAGGAGAUGGAGGUCUGCUCGGCUAAAUUAGGCCUGGCUCCCACAGCUUGGAGCGAAGGGAGGGAGGCGAGGUGAAAAUGGAUGUAGAUAGGCUAAAGUGGGGUUGCACAUGUCCUGAGGCGAUAGCCUGGGAGCUGCAGCAAGGCCUCACUCUCAAUCCUGCUCUCUCAGAGCAGAUCUGUGUGCAGAUGGGUGUCUGACAGGCCUACAGCUGUUCUCCUAAUUGUUCAUUAAGUGUUCUAUUGAUUCCCUUAUUUCAAAUACAUGUGUCUUUCAGCCGCUGCUCUCCAUGUGAUGUGGCAGGCAUGCAUGCCACGCACACAUAUUCACACGUGCACACCGACACGCGCAUUCCUGGCUUGGCCAAGAUGACAGGGCUGGCUGAUGCCGAAAAUGUGAACUGCCACUUCUAAUCCAGGAUUCCUCUCUCAGUGGGGUCCGGCAGGGCCUGGGAAGCAGAACCUCAUUCAACGUACCAGGCUUUUAUUUUCCAAACUUUUAGCAUCAAUCAAUUAGAGUGCUGGCAGCAGCGUAGAAAAAAUGUUUAAUUCCUUGUUAAGCGGCAGCAGCCUCAGAUUGCACCUGGCUGAUAAGGGAGUUUUCGUGAGUCUAUUAGGUCCGGGUACUCUUGCCUGAUUACUCUGAGAGUGUGCAAGCUUUAUUUAGGUAAAAAAUGAUCAAGCAAAAAGAGGGAGAGAGGAGAUGAGAAGGGAGAAUACAAGAGGAGUCAAGAAGUUAGAGAGGAAAAAGGCUGCAGAAAAGAUUAGACAGUCGACAACACCUUCACGUUUGAGCAACUUUUAUCAGCUGGGGCAAUCUCCAGCUUUCAGACUGAUUCUCAGCUAAUCUGCUUCCAGAGUUACUAAAAACAAAAAGCUAUGCUUAGACAAGUGUUUUGGCAAAAAAACUAUUGGUCUGAAAAGUUGUAUAAAUAGAUUGUGUUAAGCAAUACAUUUGUCCAUACUCUGGGUUGAAUGCAUGGAAGCAUCUAAUCUUUUUACUCAUCCUUUAAAUUAGCUAUGCAGACUUUAAAUACCCUGAUGUGCAGUGCUGGUAAGAAUGUCAUUUACACUCAUCAUUUGCAUGAAUAACAUUAAGUUGAUUUAAAAAUACAUUUUUACUAUUGUUUUUUAAAUAAACAUCCAUUCACUGUCUACACCUGCUUGCAGAUGUCAGUGGUCAAAAGGCGGGGAACGCCAUGGACGGGUCACCAGUCUGUCAGAGACACACACAGCACAACCAACCAACCAACCAACCAACUUUAAAGGGAGACAGUUUCUCCUGUUCUGUUCAAGUUGAGCCAACUAGAACACGUGCGGGUAAAGGCAAUUUGUUCCAAUGCUUUUGUGCUUUUCUAGAAAGAGUAGUAUUAUGUAGAACGGUCAGAGAUAAAGGGAGAAAAUUCACCAGGCAAACUGUAACCAUUUCUCUUUUUCCCACUCUGCUCUUUGCCUUACAAUUUGGCUUUCAAAUUGGACUUAGCGCUUCAGUGGGUCAAGUCAUAUACUUCCAGCCUGGGUGGUCGUCUCCAUUUCCAGAGCAAGGAAAUUCCAUUGGCAUUCCUGCGUUGAGUAGAGCGAUAAUGUUCUCUGUAAAACACAAUCAUUCACCUCCCUUCUCGCCGUUGUAUAAGGCGUGAGGACCCCCCCAAUCAAUACCGGCUGGCUGGGUGACUUAUCAUCGCUGCCUGGACGCAAAGCUGAAGAGAGUGCCGGGCAGCAGACAGUGGGCUGCAUUCUGAUGCAGACAUGAGCCAACACCUGGUAGCUGUGUCAGUGACCGAUAUGUUAUAAACCUGUCGUGCAAUAGAUCUGCUGCUUGUAUAAUUAAAACAGAGGACAAAAAAAUACAUAUUUACAAAUAAAUCUGAAGUGUGGUGUAGGCUGAUGGCAGCAAUGGAGAGGCUAAUGAAAGCAUGCCUAGCUUGAUCAUCUGUUUUAUUAGAUACAUGCUGUUUUUCUUGAAAUAAAACUACCAAGAAAUUGGUUGACAUAAAAUAUUUGAUGCAAUGCAAGAGGGUGUAAGAACACAUCUUCCCACUUGACUGGGAAAAUGACACAUACAGGCACAACAGUUUAAAAGUUUAGAUUAGAGUACAUCAGUGUGUGAAGUGAGACCAGAAACUCCAGACCAAAAUUCAAUUAAGGUUCUGUGGCAAGACAACAACUGUUCUUUAUCCAGUCACCUCCACCCCAAAGAAAUCGUGUUGCAGCAAGAGGUGGUUCUACAAAGCAUUUAUUAUAUGACACAUUUUUUGUAUUUUGUAUUUCUACACAGUUGAAAGCCAUAUUUAAUUUAACCCCUGCUUCAAAGUUAUACAAAUCUUUGCAUUGGUCUGUGCUGUAUAAUCAAAAGUAAUUGUGUUUGUAACAUGAAAAAAUGUGAACAAUUUAAAGGGCUGUAAUUUCUUUUACAUGGUACUGUGUACAGUUAUUUUUCAAUCAUCCAUUUUUCAAUCAGUAGCAUUGUGGGAAUAUUAUAUAUCUUCAGGUAUGUCACCCUCUACGUUAUGCAAUCACAGACUCUGCCUGUAACUCCAGUGCAGGUUCUUUUGGGAGACAUCUUUCCUACCUGCCCUAAAAAAUAACCUUGUUUUUACCUCUGAGCUAAUUUGUAAACAUUUUCGAGAUGACCAGCUGCCUGCAGACUCCCUGGGAUUGUUUGAAACAUUUCAACCCAUUAAUUGAAAAAAGUUAAUAGCCCACCACUAAAUAUGCAUCUGAGAUUGUUAAAUCUUGCCAAGCAUGGCAAACGCAUGUUUAAAUGGUUGACUCAAUGAUCGGCAAAUGCCUGCCUACCUUUUUUCACUUUUAUCUUGCUGUGUAAUGACAUUUUCAUAAGGAAAAAUUGUAGUUCAUGUUUAAUCUUUAGAGUGUUUGAUUUACACUGGUAGGAUCUGUUUUUUUUUUAUGUCCCAUCUGGACAACACCAGAUAAGCAAUUUACCUUGUAAGCUUAGGACACUUGCAGACUGAAGAUGAACCAGCUGAAUUUUAAGUUGGCUGAGUGUUUACUAACAUUUCAUUUACUAUGGGUCAUCUGGUGAAUAAAUGGGCUGGAGGGAUGCUGUUUGGAAUUGUCUUUAACUUUGCUGAUGUCUGCUGCUGAGAGAGCCCGUUAAUGGCCUCUAAUUGGGUUAGUGAAGAGAACGUGUUGACAUUUCUUAUGUGCUAACAGUCCAGGGUUUUGCUUCAGCCAUUAUGCUAAUUCAACCAUUAUAUAUCUAGGGGUAUUAAUGAGACUGACACAAGUGAUGUUGCAGGUAAAAGACAGUGAAAUGGUCUGUAAACAGACGGAAUUGAUUCCAAGGCCGAAGCAAUUGUCACCAGGCUGCACUGAGAUGAACAGAUUCCCUCCUCCUUUUCCUUUCAGCUCUUCUCUCUGUUCCUCCUCCUCUUCCUCCUGUUUCUUCUCUUCUUCUUCCCUCCACACCCCGUUUGCUCCUCCAGCCUUGUCCAGCCUUCCAAAUAGUCUCUGACAGCAUUCAGCAGAAUCUGUCAAGGCCAUCAAAAAGGUACCCAAACACAGCGUGAAGUGCCGUCUGCUUACAAAAAUGAGACUUGAUCAGAAUCAAUACAGUUUACCCCUCUUGCCCAACACCAGAGCACAUCCAUCCACCAGCACAGAAUCAGUUACACUGUUACUGCUGAUCUUCAGGAUGCCGGCUCUAAAAGCAUUGCCUCUGAACAGAGGUGGGUAGAGUACCCAAAAAUUAUAUUAAAGUAAAAGUAAUGUUACUUCAACACAUUUUUAUUUGUUUUUAUUCAAGUAAAAGUAAAAAGUAGUCAUCUGAGUAAUUACUCAUAUUUGAUCAGAACAUCUGAUCAAAAUUUUAAAAUCGAUGCAGUCAGACAAAAAGCAUUGUUUUGUACAAAUUAUGGCAUUUCAAAGGGCAAAAUAAAAAUAAAUACAUUUUGACAGAAGAAACACUUUUUCAACUCUUUUUUUAAUGCAAAACCUUUGAAACUAAUACUUACAGUAGUAUAUGUUAAAACAGGUUAAAGUUCCAGCUUCAAUGCAGUGUUUACUGUAUCUUGAUCUGCACAUGGCACAUACAGCUCAGCAAAUGGGAAAAAAAACAUUAAAACCACAAAGUUUUUGUAAAAAUAAAACUGGUCAGCAGAUACAAAUAAGUUUGAUUGCAGUAAUGCCAAAAAAGCCUUUUUCUUGUUUUUUGAAGGGUAUAAAUCCUCAAUGUACUUUGAUAUGCCAAUGCAUAUAUAAACACAGGGCAUUUGCCAUUUUAUUAUUUUAAAAUCAAACUUUAUAUGUUACUCCUAAUUCAGAUUUUUAGAAACAAAUUACAUUUUUUCUUUUUAAUUUGAAAUAAGAUAUCUCGGGUAAAUGUCUAAGUAAAGUGAACAAGUCAGUUUGUUGUGUUCAAACUGCCUUUGUGCUAAGAUUUAAAAAUCUAAUUAUAUCCUCAUUUUGAAACCCCAGAUAUUUUGUAUAUGAGGUAACCUAACAACAUGGAGGAGUUGACCAUUGCAUAUCAGGUUAAUAUCUUAUCUGUGGUCAUCCUCAAAGUGUGAAAGCCAGGCUACUAUGAAGUAACUGAAUUAUAUUACCAUCAACUCUAGAUUUCUUUACUGUUCUAAAAUCUGCUGAAACUACAGAGCCAUCAUUUAAAUGCUGUCGCUUGAACAGUGAUGAAAGUACAAAGUGAAAGCCCAACUGUACCUGCUUUUUUUUUUUUUUCAUUAUAUAAUCAUUUGCAAGCCGCAGGGGUGUGUGUGGUUAUCUCUCAAUGGUGCAGGAGUUGACAGGGAUAUCAAAUAAGACCUUGAUAACAAGAUCUGAACACAAAUAAGAAGCAAAUAAUUAUCAGCCUUCAGAUGAUGGGGUCAGGAGGAGGUGCUGCUUAAUAAAUCUUCUGGCUUCAUGCAGAAAAAAUUUCAGUUUUUCACUAUUUUUUGCGAUGGGGUUUGAAUACGAAGCAGAGGCUAAUAAAAGAUUGGCCUGUCAUAAUGAAUCAAGAGAGUCUGUGUCAAGUAGGCAGUGUGAGUCCAUUCUCUCACAUAUCCAUCUACUGAACAAGCCUCCCUGUGCCUGUGUGGCUGGAGAAAAAAAGACCAGUUGACACCCUAUUUGGCUGUCUCUCCACUGAAAUUAACAUUAAGCCUGGGAGAAAGAGAGACAGUGUUUGGCACAGCAUGGCUUCAUUUUCUCCCGGAGUGAACACCAGGGCCCAAAGGGACACCAAGACAGAUUUGCAUGCCACUUGCUAUUCUCUCCUUCCUGCUGCAAAUUUAUUAUUGUGGCAAGUUGCUUCCCCAACAGCAACUUAGAGGACUUUUCAAAUCUAAAUGGUAUCUGCAGGCGGUCAGGAGACAUAUAGAAAUCCCUGGCGCGCACACACAAAGAUGGGGGGAAAAACUGCAUCAAAAAAGUAAUCAUGGAGAUCAGAAUACAGCUGUCAGCAGUGCCAAGCAGAGAGUGAUGCCUCUGAUGAAGUUUAGGAAACGAGGAAACUUUUCACACAGAACUUUGUUGCUUCAGAUUAAGUCGAAAAGUAGAACUAUAAUUGUGGUUCGGAGGGCUAACAUUCCCUACUUUGCAAAACUGUUGAUAACCUUUGAACUUCUUUUGGUAAAUGCAAGAUUCAGUUCAUUUUGGUUGGAUUUUGUGUACUAGACUGACGGUGAGUAUGAAGUGGAAGGAUAAUCAUACACUGUUUUUAUAAGAAAGGUUUGCAUUUCUGUUUAGUUCUUUUAAUCUCGUAUCACUAAAUGCAGUCAUGUAACUUAUUUCACUGGACUCGUCAGUGAAAUAAGUCCAGUUGUUUCAUUUAACCUUCACAUAGAUACUGUUCUAAUUAAGAUUUUUUCUUUUCUUCUUCAGGGAGAGUGAAGAUUUUGGAUGGGGCUGAAUUCAGGCAAUCCAGGAAAAAGAAAAGCUACAAUAGACUUGAGGAGGUUCACCUUAGACCAGGACAAAUACCCUCAACAUACAACCAGAGCCAUAAUGAAACAGUUCAAAUCAUAGUUAUGUGUUAGAAGGAUCCAGUUAAGGUCAACAAUUUAAUUCACUAAAUGUGCACAACUUUUAAAGACAUACCUCAAAAGACUUAUAAUUGUAAUUACAAUGGAAGGUUCUGGUACUUGUUGACUGAAGGGAACUUAACACAAAUGUAUGCCAAACUCAAGACGAUUCAGUAUAGUUCUCAAAAUACUCCAUACUAGAACAGGAACAGAUUACAAUGGACCCAGGCAUAGUCACAUUUAAAUAUUUACAGAGUUGCCACUUCAAAGUAUUUGCUGAUAUUUUUUUCUAAAAAUAUAAAGACAAACUACACCUCAGCUGGAAUACCUAGGUGCAAUGCUUGUUGACACGCCAUUGACUGCCGUUUGCAAAGCAGCCAAUCUAGGCGAACCAUUCAUUUUCCUUGCUGCUGAUUGGCUGAAACCCUGAAAGUAGAGAUAAGGAAGACAGCAGAUUUUAGCUGCUGUGGUAGUGCUAAGAUGGUUUCCACUUUCCAUAUUAAUCCAUGUGUUUGAACUAGUAAAAUAAGCAGUUAUAAAUGUUUUAUAGAGGGUUUGAAUUAUUCAUGGAUUUUGGUCAUUCAAAGACAGCAACGGUCCCUGAACCCUGCAAAUACCACAAGUCCACUGUAGUUUGCUAUGAGCUAAAAUCCAUCCAAUAGAAAAGUAAUGACACUGUAAAGAUUUGCAAACAUAUUUGCCUGAACAAAUAUGUUUACAAACAUUUGUUUAAGUUGUUUUAAAGCAGCAGAAAUGGUCUCAUAAAACUAUGAGAAUGCACAGAUAAAUAGUCAACUUGAGGCACAACGAUGUUAGGCAGCAGAAAGCUGGAGUUGAACCCACAAGUUUUGAGUUACAAGAUGACAGAGUCACAGUUGCACCACAAAACAUCCCGUUGUAUCAGGAAUAUCUGUAAAGUUCAGAAACUGAGAUAAUCUUAUAGUUCCUUUAUGUUGUAUACAAACCUUUCAUCUACAUAAUCUUUUUUUUUUCUCUUUCAGGUGUUGUAAGACAAAUUUAAUUGUAAUCAUUUAAAAUUUGAAUUGGCAAUGUGACCUAACAUACUUUGUACUAGAACAGCAUUGGUAUUUUCCAGGAAAAGUCUGAUUGGUGCAUCCGCAGUAAAAACAGACCUGAUGUCUGACUGCUUAAGCAGGACACAACAUCCAACACUGUGAGCCUCUGUUGACCUGUGCUGAAAGAUGCUCGGAGGUCAUGAAACAACCGGAUGAAGAAAUAUGGUUGAAGUCAAGGUCACUGGCGCCAAUUACCUUUCCCCUGUCCCCUACAAAUGAGUAUCAUUCACCUGAUUAUCUAUUAUCAUGUUAUUGGACGUAAAUUUAACAAGCUGUUGAGAGGACUGGAAAAUCAAUACCUUUUAAAUGCUGUUUAUGCGUGAUUAACGGUUAAUAUCCUCACAAAUUAUUUAAUAUAAUAAGGUCAUUUGUCUUUCACAUGAGCCUGGAACCCUGCAAAGAAUAAUAGAAUAAUAAAUGAGGACACUACUGAAGAGGAGAUUUCUGAUGCUUUCUCCAGCUCCAUUUUAUUACCCAUAUCCUCUUAACAGCUACAAAGCUGCACUAUGGUUAUUUUAUGCAAGUCAUAAAAUUAGGCUGAGAUGGAAUUAGCAGACUCGGGGCUCUUUAUAGGUCAAGCCGGUAGUUUAUGAGCCCACGACUCCCUAGCACUAUUGUCAGGAGGCUAGUUAGAGGGGUCUUUAAGCAUGAUUUAAUAUGUCCCUGCCUUGGAAAAUAGUUAAAUAGCUAAUUAAAUGGAGGAGUUAAUUUACAUAUUAAUUGACCUUCCAGUAAUAUUUAUAUUGAUGCCUACAUGAGGAUCCCUUGUCUUCAUUGCCUUUCAUCAUAGUUAGUUUGAGCAAAUAUGGUGUAACUUUUUUUGUUUAAACUCAAGUUUCUUUUUAUUGUCGCCAGAGAGGAGCUGUGUACUCCCCGUCAGAGCCAGCUGGGGUUUUGUGCAUGGCGGGCUCCUUUUGUUGGCAGAUAAUGGAAGAAGCCCCAUAAACAGAGAUGGGAAGUGCUCCGGGGGGCCAGUGGAGGAGCUGGAGGACGGUGCCUGUGUCAAAACUGCUCUUAAUUAUAUCUCUAAUCACCAGCCGACCUGCCAACAGAAAAGGACCCGGGGGCUUGACAUUAGCCCAACCUGUACAGAAUUAACACAACAUUUCACCUGCUAAGCUUUUCCAAAUAGGCACUGAGGCAAAGACACAUACAUGUGCACACGCACUGCUCAGCCAAGCUGCCUCUUCAGAGACAUAAAUCUGUUUGUUUGCUGCUCUCCACACUAGCUAUUAUACUCCAGAAGAGAUUUGUGCUGCAUUUUCUAUGAUAAUAAUCUCUCUCCCUGAUGUCGCCUCUGCAUGUUGCAUUGUCAUGUUGAUGUCCGUGCGGCCAUCGAGGGGUAAUGAUGACGUGGAUCAACGAUGAUAGAUUGGAAGCACAUUGUUUGUUUUCGACAGGGGGCGCGUCCAUUCUGCGUUCCGUGUUGUUAGCAUGGUUGUCUCAUUGAGGUCCAAGAUGUCAUUUACAAGAGAGACCUUAAUAUGUCCCACUACAUCUACCAGCAGGACGAAUAAAGACCAGGAGCUGAACAACUUAAAUUCCUACUUUGUUUUCAUAUUUUUUUUGUGUGUGCAGAUUUUUGUGUGUUGCCUCUUCUCUUGAUAUUCUCCUCAAAAACUUGCUGUUGGUUUUUUACAGGCUAAAAGUUAGCUGGAGGCCGGUGUUGUGCAUGGAGAGCCCGGGAGCUGCCAGCUGUGCUAUGACUAUAAUCUACCCAGGCACUCCUUCCCAUCCCAAGCCUUCGCCAGAGUGCAGCAUUUCCAACUGAAUAACUCUAUAAAAUGGACACCUGCCACGAGACCCUGCAUGCAUCACCAGUGCCAGAGUGCCAAGCACAAUCGCCCAGCAGUCACGGCCAGUUGCCUGCUGAUAUAUCAGAUGUGAUCCCAGAGAAAGGGUUGAGUGCACCCCACCAAAUGUUAAAGUUAUUUGUUCUUGUCAUUAAACUAAACUUUAUUG